rnacentral:tRNA from 1 species
GCGGGAAUAGCUCAGUUGGUAGAGCGCAACCUUGCCAAGGUUGAGGUCGCCAGUUCGAACCUGGGUUCCCGCUCCA